rnacentral:tRNA from 1 species
UCCCUUGAGGGCUAUUGGUUAGGCCACAGCGCUCUCACCGCUGCAGCCCGGGUCCGAUUCCUGGCCAGGGAA